rnacentral:rRNA from 1 species
UACGAAGGGGGCGAGCGUUGUUCGGAUUUACUGGGCGUAAAGGGCGCGUAGGCGGCGCGGUAAGUCGGGUGUGAAAUCUUGGAGCUUAACUCCGAAACUGCAUUCGAUACUGCCGUGCUUGAGGACUGGAGAGGAGACUGGAAUUUACGGUGUAGCGGUGAAAUGCGUAGAUAUCGUAAGGAAGACCAGUGGCGAAGGCGGGUCUCUGGACAGUUCCUGACGCUGAGGCGCGAAGGCCAGGGGAGCAAACGGG